rnacentral:rRNA from 1 species
CUGAGAGGUGGUGCAUGGCCGUCGUCAGUUCGUACUGUGAAGCAUCCUGUUAAGUCAGGCAACGAGCGAGACCCACGUCCACAGUUGCCAGCAUACCCUCCGGGGUGAUGGGUACACUGUGGAGACCGCCGCUGCUAAAGCGGAGGAAGGAGUGGGCAGCGGUAGGUCAGUAUGCCCCGAAUCUCCCGGGCUACACGCGGGCUACAAUGGUUGGUACAAUGGGCAUCUACCCCGAAAGGGGAAGGAAAUCUCUUAAAGCCAAUCGUAGUUCGGAUUGAGGGCUGCAACUCGCCCUCAUGAAGCUGGAAUCCGUAGUAAUCGCGUUUCAACAGAACGCGGUGAAUACGUCCCUGCUCCUU